UACGUAGGGGGCAAGCGUUGUCCGGAAUCAUUGGGCGUAAAGCGCGUGUAGGCGGCCAGAAAAGUCCGCUGUGAAAACUCGAGGCUCAACUUCGAGCUGUCGGUGGAAACUUUCUGGCUAGAGUCCGGAAGAGGAGAAUGGAAUUCCUGGUGUAGCGGUGAAAUGCGCAGAUAUCAGGAAGAACACCCGUGGCGAAGGCGGUUCUCUGGGACGGUACUGACGCUGAGACGCGAAAGUAUGGGGAGCAAACAGG
rnacentral:rRNA from 1 species